GCAGCCGCGGUAAUUCCAGCUCCAAUAGCGUAUAUUAAAGUUGUUGCAGUUAAAAAGCUCGUAGUUGAACUUCAGGCCUGUCCAGAUGGUCCGCCUUAAUUGGUGUGUACUGUCCUUGGGUGGGUCCUACCUUCUGGCGAAGCGGCAUGGCCUUAAUUGGUUGUGUUGGGGAACCAGGACUUUUACUGUGAAAAAAUUAGAGUGUUCAAAGCAGGCAUUAUAUGCUCGAAUACAUUAGCAUGGAAUAAUGGAAUAGGACGAUGGUUCUAUUUUGUUGGUUCUAGGACCGUUGUAAUGAUUAAUAGGGAUAGUUGGGGGCAUUAGUAUUCAAUUGUCAGAGGUGAAAUUCUUGGAUUUAUUGAAGACUAACUACUGCGAAAGCAUUUGCCAAGGAUGUUUUCAUUAAUCAAGAACGAAAGUUAGGGGAUCGAAGACGAUCAGAUACCGUCGUAGUCUUAACCAUAAACUAUGCCGACUAGGAAUCGGGCGAUGUUGACAAAAUGACUCGCUCGGCACCUCAUGGG
rnacentral:rRNA from 1 species